ACCGGCGGCUCGAGUGGUAACCGUUAUUAUUGGGUCUAAAGGGUCUGUAGCCGGCCGGAUAAGUCUCUUGGGAAAUCCAGCAGCUCAACUGUUGGGCUUUCAGGAGAUACUGUUCGGCUCGAGGCCGGGAGAGGUGAGAGGUACUUCAGGGGUAGGGGUGAAAUCUUGUAAUCCUUGAAGGACCACCAGUGGCGAAGGCGUCUCACCAGAACGGACCUGACGGCAAGGGACGAAAGCUAGGGGCACGAACCG
rnacentral:rRNA from 1 species